rnacentral:rRNA from 1 species
UCCUGGCUCAGGAUGAACGCUGGCGCGUGCCUAAUACAUGCAAGUCGAGCGAACAGAUAAGGAGCUUGCUCCUUUGACGUUAGCGGCGGACGGGUGAGUAACACGUGGGUAACCUACCUAUAAGACUGGAAUAACUCCGGGAAACCGGGGCUAAUGCCGGAUAAUAUUUAGAACCGCAUGGUUCUAAAGUGAAAGAUGGUUUUACUAUCACUUAUAGAUGGACCCGCGCCGUAUUAGCUAGUUGGUGGGGUAAUGGCUUACCAAGGCAACGAUACGUAGCCGACCUGAGAGGGUGAUCGGCCACACUGGAACUGAGACACGGUCCAGACUCCUACGGGAGGCAGCAGUAGGGAAUCUUCCGCAAUGGGCGAAAGCCUGACGGAGCAACGCCGCGUGAGUGAUGAAGGUCUUCGGAUCGUAAAACUCUGUUGUUAGAGAAGAACAGCGCAUAGAGUAACUGUUAUGCGUGUGACGGUAUCUAACCAGAAAGCCACGGCUAACUACGUG